CUUGAUGCGUCCUCCCUAGCGUCAAAAAACUACAUUCAUUGAAUCUUAGCAAUCCAAGAGAAAUCAAAAAUUUUCUGUAGCAUUAGGAAUAUGUAUGCCUUACCAUCAGUCAACGUCAACAGACCUCCGUCUGCUUACGGAACCGGACUGACCCCUGCCACACAUGUAGCCUGUGUUGUUCGUCAUCCAACACGUCCCUGCAUGGUGCAUAUGUCGAGAACACCUCUCUAUCUUGCAAAAGUGGUUACGUAAGCACUGCCUGAAAUCCAAUAUCCAAUCUAACUUUCCAUCAUCCGAUUCGGCUAAGAUAACAUCAUCUCAUCCUCAUCCAAAUCAUCACUAUUGUCGUGCUGUAUUGAAGAACCGAUCCCGUACUUUAUCCUUUGGACAAUCCCUCUUGAUAUCCCCUCCUGGUCGCAAUAAAAGCACCUACAGUGCGACCUCUCGAUUUGACUCCACAGUCCUUUUCCAGUACCUUUGUGAGACCUUUCCUGACCUCGGCCUCUUUCCAUACUUCCCUCUGAGACUAGGGCCUGUGACUCACUUGAAUCUGUUCGAACACACUCUCUCUCCGAGCAUCUCAUUGAACAGCGGGAUCCAUGACCAUACUCGUAGUCACUUUAUAUUCGGCGCUGAAUUGCUGAGAGAAACCACAAUGUCUCCCACUUCUUUGCAAGGAACUAAGAAGCAUAAGGCCUGUAUCUCAUCGCCAAACUGUAGGUCAACAGGGUCAACUGAUUGACCAAAAUCUGAAAAACUCGUUGUAUGUUCCGCAACUAUGUCUCUCUCUGAAAACUUCAAAUUCACAAGCCUCCUCAUACAUUAAUAAGGCUUUAUUCCGAGAUGUUUUCGCUGGUACUCUCCUCCAAACUGAUCACAAUCAUAAGCACAGUCUCCUGUGCUACAUGAUGGACCACCUCGUGUCCAAUGCAAUAUCUGAUUAGCCCAAUUGGUCUUUAUGUUCAUCUUCUUCCAUUCCCAUCUCGUCGCUAAAGGUUUUUUCCUUUAUCUCCAAAGGGUCAUGCAAAUCUUGCAAAAAUAGGAUGUGUCCUCCCAUCCUAGGUUCCAUAUGACGUUAAUUCGUUGCAUAAAAGACAAUCAUCGAUCCCAAAUAUACUCUGCCAUCUUACUUCUUCCAAAAUAGAAACAAAUAUCGAAAACCAACCCGCGGAUGAAUUAGGAAUGCUGAGAAAAAACCCAGGCAAUGGCUAGAUUGUCAAAAUCAGAAAAUUUUCGGGACCAAAACAAAUUGUCAAAAUCAGAAAGUUUUGCUGGCCAAAUCGACAAUUAAAAGUACUGGGCCCAAAUGACAAAAUUAGAAAACUCCUGGACCAAUUAAAAAUAUUCAAAACUUUAGGGACUAAACUAAAUUAAACAGAAACUCAUAGGAACCAAUCUGAAUUAAUAAAAACUCUAGCGACAAUCUGUAAUUACCCAAAAAAUCAGGGGCUAAAAGUAUAUUUAUCGGUCAAAGUCAACGUCAAACGGUCAACGAUCAGAGGCAACUGACUAGGCACGUGGCUAAGACUAAUCUCAACUCGCCGAGGUUUAGCGGCGGUGCUGAGGGCGCGUCCUGGGACUAGUUUUUUCGACGCGGUUUAGUGCUAGAGUUCCGUUAUCGACAAAAGGAACAAUUGGUGUAAUCAAAAAUUAAUUUUGAGCACUUCCACGGACACCAGACCGAAUUUAACCUGGGCUCCGGAAUCGCCUUGAACUAGGGGAAUCUGAUACCAAUUGUUGGGCUCAAAACUAAUUACCAUCACAACACACACAAAAGACAAUAAAGAUUUACGUGGUUUUUGGCAACGAUUGCCUACGUCCAAGGGAGAAAGUAACAUCCACUUGUCAAAGAAUGGAUUUACAACGAGGAAUGAUCAGCCCUCAACUCACACCCUCUCCACAAUUCUCACUUGUUUGCCUCUAAUCUCACCUCACAACAAUUGGCUCUAGCCACAAACACAACGCGUUGAAAAUCUAAGCACCUUACCAUUCCUUUUAUAGACCAGAGAAGGAGGUGGUUGAUCAUAACAGAAAAUAAAAUCAUAUCCUAAUCUAAAUAGGAUAAAACAAAAAGAUAAAACACUCUUCAAACAGUUGUAGAUAACUUGAGAGUUUCACCGUCACAUGGACACUCCAUAUGAACUCCAAUUGGGCUUGAGCUUGGCUACUAGACUUGAACUCAUCCAAGUGGGGUUGGACUCAUCCAGAUGGGCUGGACUCAACACGAUAUGUGUUGAGGUGGACUAAAUGAUAUCCGGGCGAGUUUUAACUUUUUUCUCUCCUAUUUUAUUUUUCAUUUAAAAGGUAGUAUUAUGAAGAAAAGCAACUAAAUUCAAUCCCAUGCGGUUCGUUAUAAAUAAAAAUCGACUUUUCCGCGGUAAGAUCUUUAAAUUGACCGAUGUAGAAGUAGUUCAUAGUAAACUGUUUUCGGAAUUGUUUUUCCUUUUAAAACUCAAUUGCAAUAUGGUAAGGGUGGACGGUCUCCAGGCAUAACGACUUG
rnacentral:lncRNA from 1 species